AGGAAAUGUCCUUGGAAGACGGAUUCCUCCAUCCGCUGUUUCAGCCCUUGUUUGUUUUCUGGUGGAAAUUAAUUUCUCAAAGGCCCUCCGUGUUGGAAAGGGCACGCUGAUAGGUGCAGGGAAAUAAGGAACUGGAAACAAGAUGCGCCUUAGCAGGCUGCAGGAUGGAACCUUCGUGCGUGCAGGUGGUGAGAAGUGACCUUCGGGAGGAACCCACGCUGAUGUGUUGAGUUUUGCUGGGACUCUUCAGUGCUCUUUGGGCUCUGAUACCUUGGAAGGUCCUUCCCCUGCUCUCCCCCACUGGAUUCAAACCAGGCAGUGAAGCCAGGUCUGUUCCUGGAGCCGUUGGAGGCUCACCGAUGUCUGUCUUCGGACCUCCCUGCUGAUAAAGAUUUAUGUGAUAGGAAUAAUUUGGUUGGGGUCAGGAUUUCUCCUCCAUGGAACCCAGGGCUACGUGGGGAGCUGCUGGGAUCCCAGCACAGCCUCUGUCCGGCUUCAGUUACAGCUUGAGGUAUUUUUGCCUCUUCUCUUUGCACGGGAUUUAAAGCUGAGAUAUGCAAACAGAGGCCGUUGUCCACCAAUGUCCUCCAAUGGGCGACUGCUCUCCAGCUCCUUGCAUACAGUAUCUGCACACAGUAGCUUUUGCCUUCUUGCACAAGUAUUUUAAUUGCUAAUUUGCUGGUGUCAUUUAGCUCAGCUUUGGCAUUUAUCACUUGGAUUUAAACUUGUUCAAACCGACGAUUUUCUUGGCUACCUGUGUUAAUAAUUUAAAGGCAAAAGCUCAUCACUAAGUUAUUAUGGGUAAUUAUUUUGUAGCUGGUGUGGAAAUGGUCAUUUCUGCAGCCUUAACGAAUCACUGAAUCAGAAUGGUUUGAAUUGGAAGGGACCUUAAGGACCAUCUGGUCCAACUCCCUGCACUGCACAGGGACACCCACAGCUCCGUCAGUGCUCAGAGCUCCUCCAGCCCUGACCGUGGCUGUCUGCAGGGAUGGAGCACCACCACCUCUCUGGGCAACCCGUGCCAGUGCCUCACACUUACUGUAAAGAACUUCCUUAUGUCCAAUCUACCUCUCCCCUCUUUUAGCGUGGAACCAUUUCCCCUUGCCCCUCCGUCUCUCACCCAGCAGUGCAGCACAGGAGCGCUCUGAUUGCGAUCAUGCAGUCAUCGAAGGGGUCGUCCCCCAAAAGGAUGCUUUGAUUUUCGAUGUGACACCCAGGGCUGAGCAGCUCCGCUAGCCGAGUUUACGUGGGAUGUGAGUUUUCCCAUCGCUUUACUUCGGGACGUGCGGCGUGGAGCCCUGGGGCAAUGCCGGCACCUCCAGCUGCCCCCGCCCCCUGUGUUCUGCCCCUGCUGAGGGGGUCAGCCCCGAAGAAUCAUUUGAGGAAAUAAUGUGUGAGGGGAAAAAAAAAUAUUACCUCCGGCAGUUGUGUUAUAACGGCUCUUGUGCUGACAGCCCUUUGGGAACGGUGGCAGCAGCAGGGCUGAAUGUUUUGGAGAAGAGAUCCUCAGAAGGAACACGGGAGGUGCGUUGGGACGCCUUCGCUCUGCACAGAGAUAAAGCCAGAGGGAUCCCACAUUCCGAACAAGGCAGAGCCUGAACUUGAACUGCGGGUUGUCCAAAGCUCAGGAGAGAGUUUAAAGAAGAAUGAGGCGGGGAGGAGGAAUGAAAUGCCUCUGGUGGUUGAGCCCUCUCACCUGCCGGAGGAUGUCGGGUCCGUCUGUGGCUGGGAAGUCUUUGGAUCAACGCAGGAGUGUGGAUGUAAGAAAAAAUCCUGUGCAAAGCAUCUGUGCUGGGGAGGAUGCGACGAGCGAAACGCUCCCGAGCCCCCUUCUCCACACCAGCAUAAAACACAGUGCUGUCGGUGGCUCUGAGGCUGCCCUAAGCCCAGCGUGGCGUUGUCCCCGCUCUGCUGGCUCUUGGCUGGAGCUGCUGGCACAUCACCUGUGCACGUGUGUGCAUGCAAGGAAGAAAGUAGGGGGAAGUUGUCCCUGUUGCUGUCACAGUGCUGUCCCCGCCUGGCAGAGGUGCCCUCAGCCCGUGCUGUGCUGCUGCUCCUUCAGCAUCCAGGAAAAGGCAUGGAGAUGGUCCCCCAUUCCCCAUAACAGGUUUGUGCCAACCGCUCAGAAUAUCGAUUCAAACGC
rnacentral:lncRNA from 1 species